rnacentral:rRNA from 1 species
CCUACGGGUGGCAGCAGUGGGGAAUAUUGCACAAUGGGGGAAACCCUGAUGCAGCGACGCCGCGUGAGUGAAGAAGUAUUUCGGUAUGUAAAGCUCUGUCAGCAGGGAAGACAAUGACGGUACCUGACCAAGAAGCCCCGGCUAACUACGUGCCAGCAGCCGCGGUAAUACGUAGGGGGCAAGCGUUAUCCGGAUUUACGGGGUGUAACGGGAGCGUAGACGGCAGGGCAAGUCUGGAGUGAAAGGCGGGGGCACAACCCCCGGACUGCUCUGGAAACUGCCAGGCUGGAGUGCAGGAGAGGAAAGUGGAAUUCCUAGUGUAGCGGUGAAAUGCGUAGAUAUUAGGAGGAACACCAGUGGCGAAGGCGGCUUACUGGACUGUAACUGACGUUGAGGCUCGAAAGCGUGGGGAGCAAACAGGAUUAGAUACCCCGGUAGUC